rnacentral:rRNA from 1 species
GGAAACGGUAGCUAAUACCGCAUAAUGUCGCAAGACCAAAGAGGGGGACCUUCGGGCCUCUUGCCAUCGGAUGUGCCCAGAUGGGAUUAGCUUGUUGGUGGGGUAACGGCUCACCAAGGCGACGAUCCCUAGCUGGUCUGAGAGGAUGACCAGCCACACUGGAACUGAGACACGGUCCAGACUCCUACGGGAGGCAGCAGUGGGGAAUAUUGCACAAUGGGCGCAAGCCUGAUGCAGCCAUGCCGCGUGUAUGAAGAAGGCCUUCGGGUUGUAAAGUACUUUCAGCGGGGAGGAAGGGAGUAAAGUUAAUACCUUUGCUCAUUGACGUUACCCGCAGAAGAAGCACCGGCUAACUCCGUGCCAGCAGCCGCGGUAAUACGGAGGGUGCAAGCGUUAAUCGGAAUUACUGGGCGUAAAGCGCACGCAGGCGGUUUGUUAAGUCAGAUGUGAAAUCCCCGGGCUCAACCUGGGAACUGCAUCUGAUACUGGCAAGCUUGAGUCUCGUAGAGGGGGGUAGAAUUCCAGGUGUAGCGGUGAAAUGCGUAGAGAUCUGGAGGAAUACCGGUGGCGAAGGCGGCCCCCUGGACGAAGACUGACGCUCAGGUGCGAAAACGCGGGGAGCAAACAGGAUUAGAUACCCUGGUAGUCCACGCCGUAAACGAUGUCGACUUGGAGGUUGUGCCCUUGAGGCGUGGCUUCCGGAGCUAACGCGUUAAGUCGACCGCCUGGGGAGUACGGCCGCAAGGUUAAAACUCAAAUGAAUUGACGGGGGCCCGCACAAGCGGUGGAGCAUGUGGUUUAAUUCGAUGCAACGCGAAGAACCUUACCUGGUCUUGACAUCCACGGAAGUUUUCAGAGAUGAGAAUGUGCCUUCGGGAACCGUGAGACAGGUGCUGCAUGGCUGUCGUCAGCUCGUGUUGUGAAAUGUUGGGUUAAGUCCCGCAACGAGCGCAACCCUUAUCCUUUGUUGCCAGCGGUCCGGCCGGGAACUCAAAGGAGACUGCCAGUGAUAAACUGGAGGAAGGUGGGGAUGACGUCAAGUCAUCAUGGCCCUUACGACCAGGGCUACACACGUGCUACAAUGGCGCAUACAAAGAGAAGCGACCUCGCGAGAGCAAGCGGACCUCAUAAAGUGCGUCGUAGUCCGGAUUGGAGUCUGCAACUCGACUCCAUGAAGUCGGAAUCGCUAGUAAUCGUGGAUCAGAAUGCCACGGUGAAUACGUUCCCGGGCCUUGUACACACCGCCCGUCACACCAUGGGAGUGGGUUGCAAAAGAAGUAGGUAGCUUAACCUUCGGGAGGGCGCUUACCACUUUGUGAUUCAUGACUGGGGUGAAGUCGGAACAAGGUA